GGUAAUGUUCGGCUUGUCAGAACUCUCCUGAGUUCAUCUGUUCUCAGAAGCUAAGCCAGGCCAGGUGUGGGUAGUAGUUGGAUGGGCAAAACAGUGGAGUAGUGAGCAGCCGCAUACAGACCUUGUCC
rnacentral:rRNA from 1 species